rnacentral:rRNA from 1 species
AUUGAACGCUGGCGGCAUGCUUUACACAUGCAAGUCGAACGAUAACAGGUUAAGCUGACGAGUGGCGAACGGGUGAGUAAUGCAUCGGAACGUGCCCGAUCGUGGGGGAUAACGCAGCGAAAGCUGCGCUAAUACCGCAUACGAUCUGAGGAUGAAAGCGGGGGACCGUAAGGCCUCGCGCGAUCGGAGCGGCCGAUGUCAGAUUAGGUAGUUGGUGGGGCAAAGGCCCACCAAGCCGACGAUCUGUAGCUGGUCUGAGAGGACGACCAGCCACACUGGGACUGAGACACGGCCCAGACUCCUACGGGAGGCAGCAGUGGGGAAUUUUGGACAAUGGGCGAAAGCCUGAUCCAGCAAUGCCGCGUGCAGGAAGAAGGCCUUCGGGUUGUAAACUGCUUUUGUACGGAGCGAAAAGGCCCUUUCUAACACAAGGGGCUCAUGACGGUACCGUAAGAAUAAGCACCGGCUAACUACGUGCCAGCCGCCGCCGUAA